rnacentral:rRNA from 1 species
UACGUAGGUGGCAAGCGUUGUCCGGAUUUACUGGGUGUAAAGGGCGUGUAGGCGGGAGAGCAAGUCAGAUGUGAAAUCUAUGGGCUUAACCCAUAAACUGCAUUUGAAACUGUUCUUCUUGAGUAUCGGAGAGGCAGGCGGAAUUCCUAGUGUAGCGGUGAAAUGCGUAGAUAUUAGGAGGAACACCAGUGGCGAAGGCGGCCUGCUGGACGACAACUGACGCUGAGGCGCGAAAGCGUGGGGAGCAAACAGG